ACCACAAACAGUUACUAUAGGUCUUGACUUAGAAAAUUCAUAUAUACUUUCUUACUAAUGAGACUUUCUAUACAACAGAGUGAGGUCAUUCUUUGUUGAUUUAUUCCAUAAGAUGCUGGCUAUCAUGUGUUUGAAGAUAUGCCAAACUUAACCUUACCUAACAAAACCACAAACAUUUACUAUAGGUCUUGACUCAGAAAACUCAUAUAUGCUUCCUUACUAAUGAGACUUUCUAUACAACAAAGUGAGGUCAUUCUUUGUUGAUUUAUGCCAUAAGAUGCUGGCUAUCAUGUUUUUGAAGAUACCCCAAACUUAACCUAACCUAACAAAACCACAAACAGUUACUAUAGGUCUUGACUCAGAAAAUUCAUAUAUGCUUCUUUACUAAUGAGACUUUUUAUACAACAAAGUGAGGUCAUCCUUUGUUGAUUUAUACCAUAAGAUGCUGGCUAUCAUGUGUUUGAAGAUGCCCCAAACUUAACCUAACAAAACCCAAAACAGUUCCUAUAGGUCUUGACUCAGAAAACUCAUAUAUGCUUCCUUACUAAUGAGACUUUCUAUACAACAAAGUGAGGUCAUUCCUUGUUGAUUUAUACCAUAAGGUGCUGGCUAUCAUGUGUUUGAAGAUACCCCAAACUUAACCUAACAAAACCACAAACAGUUAUUAUAGGUCUUGACUCAGAAAACUCAUAUAUGCUUCCUUACUAAUGAGACUUUCUAUACGACAAAAUGAGGUUAUUCUUUGUUAAUUUAUACCAUAAGAUGCUGGCUAUCAUGUGUUUGAAGAUACCCCAAACUUAACCUAACCUA